rnacentral:rRNA from 1 species
CCUACGGGUGGCAGCAGUGGGGAAUAUUGCACAAUGGGGGAAACUCUGAUGCAGCGACGCCGCGUGCGUGAAGAAGUAAUUCGUAAUGUAAAGCUCUAUCUGUAGGGAAGAAAAUGACGGUACCUGUGUAAGAAGCCCCGGCUAACUCCGUGCCAGCAGCCGCGGUAAUACGUAGGGGGCAAGCGUUAUCCGGAUUUACUGGGUGUAAAGGGAGCGUAGACGGCAGUGCAAGUCUGGAGUGAAAGGCGGGGGCUCAACCCCCGAACUGCUCUGGAAACUGUACGGCUGGAGUGCAGGAGAGGUAAGUGGAAUUUCUGGUGUAGCGGGGAAAUGCGUAGAUAUUAGGAGGAACACCAGUGGCGAAGGCGGCUUACUGGACUGUAACUGACGUUGAGGCUCGAAAGCGUGGGGAGCAAACAGGAUUAGAUACCCGAGUAGUC